UCUGAGGAUGGAUUUGCCUGCUUGCAACCUCAGUCUAAAAAAAUGCUAAAAA
rnacentral:ncRNA from 1 species